rnacentral:pre_miRNA from 1 species
AGCUUUUCGAAUCCAUGCAGAGAUUUCGUCAGACACCAACCCAUUUCGGCUGAUCGGACUUCCAGGAUAAGUGAAGUG